UACGUAGGCAGCGAGCGUUGUUCGGAGUUACUGGGCGUAAAGAGUGCGUAGGCGGUUUUCUAAGUUUGGUGUGAAAUCUCCCGGCUUAACUGGGAGGGUGCGCCGAAAACUGGAAGGCUUGAGUAUGGGAGAGGUAAGCGGAAUUCCUGGUGUAGCGGUGAAAUGCGUAGAUAUCAGGAGGAACACCGGUGGCGAAGGCGGGUCUCUGGGCCGAUACUGACGCUGAGGAGCGAAAGCAUGGGGAGCGAACAGG
rnacentral:rRNA from 1 species